rnacentral:rRNA from 1 species
GACAGAGGGUGCGAACGUUUGUUCGGAAUUACUGGGCGUAAAGCGCAUGUAGGCGGCAGCGCAAGUCGGGCGUGAAAUCCCACGGCUCAACCGUGGAAGUGCACUCGAAACUGCGCAGCUAGAGUCCUGGAGAGGAAGGUGGAAUGCUUGGUGUAGAGGUGAAAUUCGUAGAUAUCAAGCGGAACACCGGUGGCGAAGGCGGCCUUCGGAC